rnacentral:rRNA from 1 species
AUUGAACGCUAGCGGGAGGCCUAACCCAUGCAAGUCGAACGAGUGGCGGACGGGUGAGUAAUGUCUGGGAAACUGCCUGGUGGAGGGGGAUAACUACUGGAAACGGUAGCUAAUACCGCAUACCAUCGGAUGUGCACAGAUCGGAUUAGCUAGUUUGUGGGGUAAAGGCUCACCAAGGCAACGAUCCCUAGCUGGGUUGAGAGGAGGACCAGACACACUGGAACUGAGACACGGUCCAGACUCCUACGGGAGGCAGCAGUGGGGAAUAUUGCACAAUGGGGGAAAGCCUGAUGCAGCCAUGCCGCGUGUAUGAUGAAGGCCUUCGGGUUGUAAAGUACUUUCGGCAGGGAGGCGUUACCCGCAGAAGAAGCACCGGCUAACUACGGGCCAGCAGCCGCGGUAAUUC